UAGUACUAGAGCCGAUUUACGCAGUCGAAUACCGCCGGAAGUAGAACAUUUAUGUCAACACCGGUUUCGUAUUUUCACGUGAAAACGGCCGAAAACUGAGAGGUUAUCAACAAAUUAUAAGUUUACGGGUACCAUGAGGAUUUUUCAUGCAUUUAAACGAAAGAAGUACAAGCGAACAGAUGACACAUUAAAGUGGCUGCAGAAGCUUGAAAAGUUAGAUAGAGCAGGGGCAGUCAAAACAGUGGGAUAAUACUUCUAUGUAAUUUCUUUUUAAAGGCAAUUUAUACAGGAUGGAAGGUGUAAAAUGUUCUGUGGAUUCAUAUGAUGAGAAUGCCAGUGUUGAUCUGUAUGACUUAAUUAAGCACAGAUAUUGAUACCUUCAGAUAUAUACCUGUGAAAUCUUCGGUGUCACCGUUCAGCUAUUGUUCAAGAUCAGUGUCUGCAGCUUGCACAGUUUAGUAUAGAGGAGCCCUCUGAAUCAACUUUGUUACGUAUUUGCUGUUAUUGUAGGACACGCAUGUAGAGAGCAGCAAGUCCUGUCCAGCCGUGCAUGUAAAUGUGAUUCAGAAACUUUGAGAAUAUGUUAACAUUACACUGUUAUAAUUUUCAAAAUACUGUGUCUUGUAGUGUAUCAGUACUGUUUUGUCUCAGUUUAUAGCACAGUAUUUUCACAAAUCAAACAUAAGACCAUAGUGAUCAGUAUUAUCAAAAUCAUUAAUUAUUUGUAUGGUGACAAAAUUUAAUUUCAUGCAAUACCACAGUAAAACGUUUGAUAAUUUUCGCUUUUAAAGUUGUAAGUUUAAGGUUGGCAUAAAUUGUUUUUUCUUCUUUCAUAAAUCUAAAAAGUGAUUGGUCAUUAUAACUGCAAUAUUAUUUUAGUAUGACAAAGUUUAUAUUGAACUAAAACACUAAUGUAAAUUUUCGAACUAAUCAAUGCAUUUUCUUCAGUCUUAAAACAUUUGUUUAUCGUACGUGUCAUGGCCCAUAACUCCUCCAUAUUACUUGUGUUUUGUCCUUUUUCAUUUCACUGAAGAAUAGGUAGAGGUAUUGCACAUCCAUUUUAUAGCAUCUUGAUUUUGUAAAGUGUUGUAUGUAAGGUUUUAUCUCGGAAUUAUGUCUCAUCUAAAGGUGGGGAGAGGUAUUAAUUAUGCCUUCUCGUCUAUCCGCAUUAAGCCUGUCUGGCUUUAAGAGGACAAGCUGCUGGCCAGAUUUUGAUGAAACUUCUCAGGACUGAUCAGUACCAAGCAUAGUGUCGUGCAUAUCGCUUGCAUGUUUCGUUUUGAUGCACUAAAUUGCAGCCAUAGCUAAAAAUAGAAAAAUCUUGUUGGCUUUCACAGGUUAAAACUACUUAAUAGAUUUUGAUGAAACUUCACAGGAGUGAUCAGUACCAAAACUUUCCAUUUUGCUGCACAAAAUAGCCGCCGCA
rnacentral:lncRNA from 1 species